rnacentral:rRNA from 1 species
CGUACACUCCUACGGGAGGCAGCAGUGGGGAAUAUUGCACAAUGGGCGCAAGCCUGAUGCAGCCAUGCCGCGUGUAUGAAGAAGGCCUUCGGGUUGUAAAGUACUUUCAGCGGGGAGGAAGGCAAUACGGUUAAUAACCGUGUUGAUUGACGUUACCCGCAGAAGAAGCACCGGCUAACUCCGUGCCAGCAGCCGCGGUAAUACGGAGGGUGCAAGCGUUAAUCGGAAUUACUGGGCGUAAAGCGCACGCAGGCGGUCUGUCAAGUCGGAUGUGAAAUCCCCGGGCUCAACCUGGGAACUGCAUUCGAAACUGGCAGGCUUGAGUCUUGUAGAGGGGGGUAGAAUUCCAGGUGUAGCGGUGAAAUGCGUAGAGAUCUGGAGGAAUACCGGUGGCGAAGGCGGCCCCCUGGACAAAGACUGACGCUCAGGUGCGAAAGCGUGGGGAGCAAACAGGAUUAGAUACCCGAGUAGUCCCAUGAU